CGGCACCGCCCCCUCCAGCCGCCCGGGCGCCCCGGCCGCGGUGGGGGGUGGGGAUGGAGAGACGCUGGUUGGAGACUGGAUCUCACCUGGACAGCAGGAGGCUUGAGCCCCGGAGUUUGAGGCUGCAGUGAGCUAUGACUGUGACACUGCAUUCCAGCCUGGGGGACUGAGUGAGAGCGUCUGUUAAAAACAAACAAACAAAAACCAGGUAUUGUUAUUGCAGAGGCAGGGUUUCUCUAUGUUGCCCAAGCUGGUCUUGAACUCCCGACCUCAAGUGAUCUGCCCGCCCCGGCCUCCCAAAGUGCUGGGAUCACAAGCGUGAGCCACCGCACCUGGCCCUUCCUCUGAGGCCUUCGUCUCCAAGAAUCCAGCAAAGUGACAAUAAUGAAAAUAAUGUCACUAAAGGGCCAGCACCACAGAAGAAAUCUCACUGGAACACCUGACUUCAAGUGUGACCUUGAAUCUCACUGAGCUCUCAAAUGUAACUGCCAGUUCCCCAAAAUGUGAGGAACUGAGAAACAGGUAAAAUGACAUCACAUGGACACAGCCAGCCCCACACAAACCAGAAAAACACACGGAGCAAAGGCCCCAGGGCUCCUGCAAGUUAAAUGUAGAAACCACCAACUGCCCUCAUACAAACAAGCAAACUAGAGAAGAAAACCCCUUUUCCACAGUGGAAAAUCAGUUGCCGGGCAUGCUGGCUCACGCCUGUAAUCCCAGCACUUUGGAAGGCCGAGGCGAGAGGGUUGCAUGAGUCUAGGAGUUCAAGCCCAGCCUGGGCAACAUAGCAAGAUCCCAUCUCUUAAAAAAAAAAAAUGAACGAAGAAAAAAAAAUUAGUUGGGUGUGGUGGUGCGCACUUAUAGUCCCAGCUACUCAGGAGGCUGAGGUGGGAGGAUCACCUGAGCCGAGGACAUAGAGGCUGCAGUGAGCCAGGCUGCACUCCAGCCUGGGUGAGAGAGUAAGACCCUGUCUCAGAAAAAAAAAAGAAAGAAAGAAAAAAGAGACUUAGGAUACAGAUCAGCGACAGCCAUUGUGGGCCCUUAAUGGAUCCUGAUUCAAACCAAGUCACCCCAGAAAAGAUACAUCAGAGAUCAUCUGGGACAUCUAAAUAUAGAGUGCAAUGAAAUAAAGGAUGACCAUUAACUUGGCCACGCGGGAUAAAAGUUUUAUAAAAGGGUCUUUAUCAGGAAGGGUUGCACAGGGGGUACUUGUGGGAGUGGUGGGAAAAUAGCUGGGAUUUGUGGUGGUUUUUUUUUUUUUGUUUUUUGUUUUUGGAGACAGAGUCUUGCUCUGUCUGUCAGGCUGGAGUGCAGUGGGCAUGAUCUCAGCUCACUGCAACCUCCGCCUCCCGGGUUCAAGCGAGUCUCAUCCCGAGUAGCUGGGAUUACAGACACCUGCCACCAUGCCCAGCUAAUUUUUGUAUUUUUAGUAGACAUGGGGUUUCACCAUGUUGGCCAGGCUAUUCUUGAACUCCUGACCUCGUGAUCCGCCUGCCUUGGCUUCCCAAAGUGCUGGGAUUACAGGAGUCAGCCACUGCGCCCAGCCUGGGAUUUGCUUUAAGCUGGAGCUUCUCCAACUUGAAGAUGCAUGCGAAUAUCCCAAAUCUUUAUUUUAUUUAUUUUUUGAGACAAGGUUUCACUCUGUCACAUAGGUUGGAGUACAGUGGCACGAUUACAACUCAUUGUAGCCCCAACCUCCUGGGCUCCAGUGAUCCUCCCGCUUCAAGCUUCCUGAGUAGCUGGGACUACAGGUGCAUGCCACCACACCCAGCUAAUUUCUUGUAUUUUUUUGUAGAGACAGGGUUUGCCAUGUUGCCCAGGCUGGUCUUGAACUCCUGGCCUCAAGUGAUCCUCCUGCUUCAGCCUCCCAAAGUGCUGGGAUUACAGGCAUGAGCCACUGCACCUGACUCAUUUUUAUUUUAGUAUAGAAAGUUUCAAGCAUUGCUGGGUGUCCCAGCUACUUGGGAGGCUUGGGUGGGAGGAUUGAGUGAGGCCAGGAGUUUGAGACCAGCCUGGGCAACAUAGUAAGACUCCCUCUCUAUGAAAAAAUUAAAAAUUGGCAGGGUGUAGUGGCACAACACCUGUAAUCCCAUGACUUUGGGAGUUUGAAGCGGGCAGAUCACUUGAGCUCAGGAGUUCAAGACCAGCCUGGGAAACAUGGCAAAACCCCGUCUCUACAAAAAAAUACAAAAAAUUAGCCGGACAUAGUGAUGUGUGCCUGUAGUCCCAGCUACUCAGGAGGCCAGGGUGGGAGAAUCACCUGAGCCCUGGAGGCCGAGGUUGUAGUGAGCCAUGAUCACGCCACCGCACUCCAGCCUAGGUGACAGAAUGGAGGUCCUGUCUCAAAAAAUAUCACAAAGAAAAAAUAUAUAUAAUAAUUUAAAAAUUGGCCAGGCAUGGUGGCAUGUGCCUGUGUUCCCAGCUACUUGGGAGGCUGAGGUGGGAGGAUUACUUGAGCUCAGGAGUUCGAGGCUGAGUGAGCUACAAUCACACCACUGUACACCAGCCUGGGCAAAAGAGCAAGACUCUGUCAAAAACAAACAAACAAAAAAACAAGAAAGGAAAAAAGAAAAGAAAGGAAAAUUGAAAGCAUCUCUAAUGUAUGUAAGGCUUGCUAUAUCAGGCCUGCAUCAAGGGUCUCAUGGAGACAUAGGCAAAUAACAGGGCCUCUGAGAAACCCAAUUCUCCUUCCUUUUUUUUUUUUUUUUUUUUGAGACAGAGUCUCACUCUGUCACCUAGGCUGGAGUGCAGUGGCGCAAUUCUGGCUCACUGCAACCUCUGCCUCCCUGGGUCAAGCGAUUCUCCUGCCUCAGCCUCCCGAGUAGCUGGGAUUACAGCCGUGCGCCACCACGCCCGGCUAAUUUUUGUAUUUUUAGUAGAGACAGGGUUUCACCAUGCUGGCCAGGCUGGUCUCGAACUCCUGGCCUCAUGACCUGCCUGCCUCCGCCUCCCAAAGUGCUGGGGUUACAGGCGUGAGCCACCGCGCCCAGCCUAUUCUCCUUCUUUCUAAAUCCCCUGCUGGAAGGGUCUAGGAAGCAGAUCUGAUGGCACCUCCCUGGCCCGAGCCCCCUCUCCUGCACCCAGUCCCCAAGGC
rnacentral:lncRNA from 1 species